ensembl:lncRNA
AUUUGCCAGAGUAGAAUGGAACAUGUGGGAUUUAUUAUAAAAAGUCACUGUCUCUGUCCCUGUGGGAUGACAGCUGAUCUACCACAAACAUUUAUUUCCAAAUUAUAGUAUCAUACCAAUCGCAGCUCUUGAGUUGAGACUGCUGUAGUAUUUACCUUAUAAGCUGUUAGUUUCAGGAAUUAAAAUGCCCCCAUAUCAGUAAGUUGGCAGCGGGAGACUAUUAUAUAUUAUUAUUCAAAUUUAUUAAAUAUAAUAGAUGAGACAGCAAAUGAUCAGUAAUUAUGCCCAUAGGUUAUUCACUCCGUGUGUGUAUAACUAAAUGCAUGUAUACAUUUGUAUGAUACAUAGUAUAGUUAAUUAAUAGUGUUUAAAUAGCGCAGUGAUGCUCUGUUGCGGGCAGUAAUGCAUAUCCCCAUACAGAAGCCAAGAAACAUGCCAUUUGUAUUUAGCUGGGUAGGCUUAGUGACACGGAUUAAUCUUUCAGAUGGAAUUGCAACACACAGGGCUGUUAGAAGAAAACCCUCAGUGGAAAAAGAAAAAAAGAAAAGAAAGAAAGAAAGAAAAAGAAAGAAAAACAAAGAAGAGCUGUUUAAAUCCAGAACAAACAUGAAGUUGAAGGUCAGGGAUGCAUGGAAGGUGCUGAACCCACAGCAGGUCACUUCUCUCAGCAGCUUGUGCCAGGGAAGGCAAUUUCCAGGUGAGUGUACUCGCAUAUGUGGUAUGUAUGGUAAUAAUAGAAAGACCAUCCUGGCUUUGUUAAAGGCAGAGAAAGUUUUGCCACUGACUCUGAUGGGGGUCAAGACUUCACUCUCUAGCAGCUCCAAAGAUCCAUGGAGAUCUGUUGCUAUACCAACAUGGACAACUGUAUAAUUGUUCCUAUAACUAUGCUACAACCUCACUGAUUGUAAUGGAA